UAAUUAGCUGCAAAUAGCAAGGCAAAUAUUUAAGCUAUUUUUGCGAUAGUUGUACAUGUUUUCGAAUUAAUUAGCAUUUAAUUUGUUGAACUGGCAGCCAACUGGAAGCUGGGCUUUGGAAAUAAUUUUACGGCAUUUGCAUAGUUAUUUUAAACGACAUAAACAUUUAUGAUUAUUGGGUUUUCGAAUGACUAAACCGUGACUAAGAAUGUGGGGCAAUACGUCUUUGGCAUUAGUUCAGUUGGAUACUAUAUUAAUCAAUAAACAAUUUAUUUUUACAAUUAUAAAAUAAUAUCAAAUUCAGUAGCGGAAAACUUUGUCGAAUUAAUUUUAAUUAAAAAAUGCCUAAUACGUCCAAGACGUCAUAGUUGCAAAGCGAUAAACUUUUAAAGUCUCCCCACUUCUCUAUCCCUUUUCUUUUGAUGCAGGUUGCACAACGACACUUGCUCCGGUAAAUUGCCGAAAAAUUUGGGAAUUUUUGCUUUUCCGUGCCAAAAAUGUGUGAUGUUCUCUAACUAGAAGCUUUCCUUCGCUGUUUUGUGCUAUUUUCUCGUCCAGCAAAUGCGGUUUUCAGAAAAAUACGUGUUUUUUUUGUUUGUGAAUUUCCUGACGUUUAGAUGACAACACUCAGGGUUAGCGGCGCUGUUUCGAUUGAUAAACCAACCGGUUACUUCCCAAACUCCUGCCUUGCUACCGCGCCGACAGAGAUGACAAGAGUUAUCAUAAAAAUAUCUACUGGUUUCGAAUCGUUGCCUGUUCAAGCCGUGACAUUUCAAUGGGAAUUGCACAUGGAAUAAUAACGAUGCAGGAAAAUCUGCUAUGAGUGGCACUACGCAGCUUUCG